GAUGAACGCUGGCGGCGUGCCUAAUACAUGCAAGUCGAGCGAACAGACGAGGAGCUUGCUCCUCUGACGUUAGCGGCGGACGGGUGAGUAACACGUGGAUAACCUACCUAUAAGACUGGGAUAACUUCGGGAAACCGGAGCUAAUACUGGAUAAUAUAUUGAACCGCAGGGUUCAAUAGUGAAAGACGGUUUUGCUGUCACUUAUAGAUGGAUCCGCGCCGCAUUAGCGAGUUGGUAAGGUAACGGCUUAACAAGGCAACGAUGCGUAGCCGACCUGAGGGGGAGGUCGGCCACACCUGAACCGAGGAACGGUCCCGGCUUCUAAGGGAGGCCGCAGGAGGGAAUCUUCCGCAAUGGGCGAAAGCUUGACGGCGCAAAGCCGCGUGAGUGAUGAAGGUCUUCGGAUCGUAAAACUCUGUUAGUAGGGAAGAACAAGUGUGUAAGUAACUAUGCACGUCUUGACGGUAACUAAUCAGAUAGCCACGGCCAACUACCUG
rnacentral:rRNA from 1 species